GACGAACGCUGGCGGCGUGCUUAACACAUGCAAGUCGAACGGAAAGGCCCUGCUUUUGUGGGGUGCUCGAGUGGCGAACGGGUGAGUAACACGUGAGUAACCUGCCCUUGACUUUGGGAUAACUUCAGGAAACUGGGGCUAAUACCGGAUAGGUGCUCCUGCUGCAUGGUGGGGGUUGGAAAGUUUCGGCGGUUGGGGAUGUACUCGCGGCUUAUCAGCUUGUUGGUGGGGUAGUGGCUUACCAAGGCUUUGACGGGUAGCCGGCCUGAGAGGGUGACCGGCCACAUUGGGACUGAGAUACGGCCCAGACUGCUACGGGAGGCAGCAGUGGGGAAUAUUGCACAAUGGGCGGAAGCCUGAUGCAGCAACGCCGCGUGCGGGAUGACGGCCUUCGGGUUGUGAACCGCUUUCGCCUGUGACGAAGCGUGAGUGACGGUAAUGGGUAAAGAAGCACCGGCUAACUACGUG
rnacentral:rRNA from 1 species